ACCAGACUCCUACGGGAGGCAGCAGUGGGGAAUAUUGCACAAUGGGGGAAACCCUGAUGCAGCGACGCCGCGUGAGUGAAGAAGUAUUUCGGUAUGUAAAGCUCUAUCAGCAGGGAAGAAAAUGACGGUACCUGAUUAAGAAGCCCCGGCUAACUACGUGCCAGCAGCCGCGGUAAUACGUAGGGGGCAAGCGUUAUCCGGAUUUACUGGGUGUAAAGGGAGCGUAGACGGUGAUGUAAGUCAGAAGUGAAAGCCCGGGGCUCAACUCCGGGACUGCUUUUGAAACUGUGUGACUGGAGUGCAGGAGAGGUAAGCGGAAUUCCUGGUGUAGCGGUGAAAUGCGUAGAUAUCAGGAGGAACACCAGUGGCGAAGGCGGCUUACUGGACUGUAACUGACGUUGAGGCUCGAAAGCGUGGGGAGCAAACAGGAUUAGAUACCCGCGUA
rnacentral:rRNA from 1 species